rnacentral:sRNA from 1 species
GCAUCUGAAAAUUCAGGUGCCGGGUUUGAGACCCCGCCGAAGUAACCGCGACAAGAUGACACGCCGCGAGCGUGUUUUUU